rnacentral:rRNA from 1 species
ACGAACGCUGGCGGCGUGCUUCACACCUGCAAGUCGAACGGAAAGGCCCUGCUUUUGUGGGGUGCUCGAGUGGCGAACGGGUGGGUAACACGUGAGUAACCUGCCCUUGACUUUGGGAUAACUUCAGGAAACUGGGGCUAAUACCGGAUAGGAGCUCCUGCUGCAUGGUGGGGGUUGGAAAGUUUCGGCGGUUGGGGAUGGACUCGCGGCUUAUCAGCUUGUUGGUGGGGUAGUGGCUUACCAAGGCUUUGACGGGUAGCCGGCCUGAGAGGGUGACCGGCCACAUUGGGACUGAGAUACGGCCCAGACUCCUACGGGAGGCAGCAGUGGGGAAUAUUGCACAAUGGGCGGAAGCCUGAUGCAGCAACGCCGCGUGCGGGAUGACGGCCUUCGGGUUGUAAACCGCUUUCGCCUGUGACGAAGCGUGAGUGACGGUAAUGGGUAAAGAAGCACCGGCUAACUACGUG